rnacentral:rRNA from 1 species
CUUGGUCAUUUAGAGGAAGUAAAAGUCGUAACAAGGUUUCCGUAGGUGAACCUGCGGAAGGAUCAUUAUUGAUUUAAAGGGAUGUGCUGGCUGCCCUCACAGGUUUGCAUAUGUGCGUGCACUCCCAAAAUCUCCAUCCUCUACACCAUUGUGCACACCCAGUAGGCAAAACAAUGUGAGUCGACUUUUGUGUGUGUCGACUUCAGAGCAGUAGCAAUAUGUGCACAUUGUCUGCCUAUGUUUUUAUACCAAACCCCAAUAAUAUGCCAGAAUGAUGUAUUGCAGUAAGCUUUCACAAGCUGAAAUCUAAUACAACUUUCAACAAUGGAUCUCUUGGUUCUCGCAUCGAUGAAGAACGCAGCGAAUUGCGAUAUGUAAUGUGAAUUGCAGAAUUCAGUGAAUCAUCGAAUCUUUGAACGCACCUUGCACCCUCUGGUAUUCUGGAGGGUAUGCCUGUUUGAGUGUCAUUAAUCUCUCAACACGAGAAAACUUGUUUUCUUGUGCUUGGAAAGUGAAGGUUUUGCUGGCGCAAAUAACUGUCAGCUCCUUUUAAAUGCAUUAGCAGAACAGUGCAGGACUGGCCUCAGUUUGAUAAGAAAUAUUUAUCUAUGCUGUCGCUAGAUUUCCUCUUUGUGUUCAGCUUCAAACUGUCUUCGGACUGUCUCUCUUGAGGCAAAAUAAUUUAUUGAUCGACCUCAAAUCAGGUAGGACUACCCGCUGAACUUAAGCAUAUCAAUAAGCGGAGGA